GACGAACGCUGGCGGCGUGCUUAACACAUGCAAGUCGAACGGAAAGGCCCUGCUUUUGUGGGGUGCUCGAGUGGCGAACGGGUGAGUAACACGUGAGUAACCUGCCCUUGACUUUGGGAUAACUUCAGGAAACUGGGGCUAAUACCGGAUAGUAGCUCCUGCUGCAUGGUGGGGGUUGGAAAGUUUCGGCGGUUGGGGAUGGACUCGCGGCUUAUCAGCUUGUUGGUGGGGUAGUGGCUUACCAAGGCUUUGACGGGUAGCCGGCCUGAGAGGGUGACCGGCCACAUUGGGACUGAGAUACGGCCCAGACUCCUACGGGAGGCAGCAGUGGGGAAUAUUGCACAAUGGGCGGAAGCGUGAUGCAGCAACGCCGCGUGCGGGAUGACGGCCUUCGGGUUGUAAACCGCUUUCGCCUGUGACGAAGCGUGAGUGACGGUAAUGGGUAAAGAAGCACCGGCUAACUACGUG
rnacentral:rRNA from 1 species